rnacentral:rRNA from 1 species
CAUAACGUCGCAAGACCAAAGAGGGGGACCUUCGGGCCUCUUGCCAUCAGAUGUGCCCAGAUGGGAUUAGCUAGUAGUGGGGUAACGGCUCACCUAGGCGACGAUCCCUAGCUGGUCUGAGAGGAUGACCAGCACACUGGAACUGAGACACGGUCCAGACUCCUACGGGAGGCAGCAGUGGGGAAUAUUGCACAAUGGGCGCAAGCCUGAUGCAGCCAUGCCGCGUCGUCAUCGAAGAAGGCCUUCGGGUUGUCAAACGUACUUUCAGCGGGCGACGGAAGGCUGUCUGUCGGCUUUCAAUCACACCAAAGCAAAUUUGGAACCGUUGAACCCCACGGACANAGUANACGGAACAGACAANACACGGGGAACUNCAAAAAAUCCCACGGAAGCACACCAGACCAAAAACCCGAACGGAGAUCAAAAUCAACGGCGAAACGGCGNAUCACAAAAGANACACGCUCCAAAAAUGACGGCGCAAAAAUAGCACACCCACGGAGCGACAACNGCAUAACANAAGGCAGANACAAAAGACAAGAGAGAAGGGGAAAAAAAGNGAAAAAAGGAAAAGGNGAGAAAACGNGUUCGAGAAAACAAAUG